AGUUGAGCAGGAGCACCGCACUGAGUCACAUCUCUACACACACGCGGUUUUUUUUCUACACGCACACACACACACAUUUACAAGCACACACACGCACACAAGCACUGCCUCCUGCGGUAUCCCAUACGGCGCAGCGGCUUUUCCAGCGGCAUACCAAGUGCGUCCUCGCCGGGGAAUGGGAGGUGCAGCUCCCGGGUGUCAGAGCGCUCAGAGCGGUAUAGAAGGGUCCUGCUGAUCGGGGAUGCUGCUGGAAGUCUGCUGCUAUUUCUUCUUCACGUGCAGGAAUCGCCUUCUUACUUCACCUCUAACGGGGAUUUAAAGUGGACUAGCCGUUGGAUCAGGAUAUAACAUUAUUCUCAGCGUUUCCCAUUUUUUGGAGGGGAGUACACGGAGUUGGGGAUUGCUCUGGACGUGCCUCUUAUCCGCAGUGUCGAUGCGGCUGCGGCUGUGAAGUGAUAUCUGCAAAGAUUACAGGUAAGAGGAGAGGCUUGUCACGGCGUAUAGACCCGACUGUCAGGACUGUUUUUAGGCUGCCUCGGUGCCAAUAUAGACCGGUUUUGGGUGAAAAGGUUGCCACUGCAGCAGCCAGGUGAUGGAGGCGUGUUGCACCUGUUCUGGCUGCGCCAUGCCUCCUCUGCGCACUCCGGUGAUCGGGCGGGUUUCAGUCCGAACCUGCCCAUCGGGUCGUUUGACUAACACUAGAGGGAUUUUUACAGAAAAUGUUUAAUGAUAAAUCAGCUCUCCACUCAAGACAUUGGAUUCCCAGCGUUUGGCGCCUCGUGUCAUUCAUGCCCACUGAGCCUGAGAGAGCUGCAUGCUCAAAUAGCGCUCGGUCUUCUUGCAGUGUAAAACUCUGAAGGUUAAAAAACUGAGAGGUAUGUCAGGG